rnacentral:rRNA from 1 species
CCUACGGGAGGCAGCAGUCGAGAAUCAUUCACAAUGGGGGAAACCCUGAUGGUGCGACGCCGCGUGGGGGAAUGAAGGUCUUCGGAUUGUAAACCCCUGUCAUGUGGGAGCAAAUUAAAAAGAUAGUACCCCAAGAGGAAGAGACGGCUAACUCUGUGCGAGCAGCCGCGGUAAUACAGAGGUCUCAAGCGUUGUUCGGAAUCACUGGGCGUAAAGCGUGCGUAGGCUGUUUCGUAAGUCGUGUGUGAAAGGCGCGGGCUCAACCCGCGGACGGCACAUGAUACUGCGAGACUAGAGUAAUGGAGGGGGAACCGGAAUUCUCGGUGUAGCAGUGAAAUGCGUAGAUAUCGAGAGGAACACUCGUGGCGAAGGCGGGUUCCUGGACAUUAACUGACGCUGAGGCACGAAGGCCAGGGGAGCGAAAGGGAUUAGAUACCCUAGUAGUC